AGCUUUCCUGAGGAAUCAGCUUGUUAACUGAAAACACCUGUUCACGGCGUUUUAAAAGCAGCCAGCAAAAACGUUUUGGCUUCUCAGCAUGCCUUACAAGGAAAGGAAUCAUGACAUUUAAAUUGUUUGGGAACAAAAAACUGAAAAUCCCAACUUAUGUUGUGUUAGCAAAAUUCCAUGAAAGUGAAGAAGGCGAUGUGCAUGAGAGGGCACGCUGGGUCUGUCGUGAGCUGGGGAUACCCAGCACAGCUCACGACAGACUCGUCAAGCUUUUCCGCAAGCACAUGCGCACCGUCUCUACUCCUCCUGAGGCCAGAGCCCCCGUGUAGUCUGAGGUCUGCCGCUUCCAGAU